GAUCUGUAGCUGGUCUGAGAGGAUGAUCAGCCACACUGGGACUGAGACACGGCCCAGACUCCUACGGGAGGCAGCAGUGGGGAAUUUUCAGCAAUGGGCGCAAGCCUGACGGAGCAAGACCGCGUGGGGGAUGACGGCCUAAUGGUUGUAAACCCCUUUUCUCUGGGAAGAAGACUGACGGUACCAGAGGAAUCAGCCUCGGCUAACUCCGUGCCAGCAGCCGCGGUAAUACGGAGGAGGCAAGCGUUAUCCGGAAUUAUUGGGCGUAAAGCGUCCGUAGGUGGUUAUUCAAGUCUGCUGUCAAAGCGUGGGGCUCAACUCCAUAGAGGCAGUGGAAACUGAGUGACUAGAGUGCGGUAGGGGUCGAGGGAAUUCCCAGUGUAGCGGUGAAAUGCGUAGAUCUUGGGAAGAACACCAGUGGCGAAAGCGCUCGACUGGGCCUGCACUGACACUGAGGGACGAGAGCUAGGGGAGCGAAAGGGAUUAGAUACCCCUGUAGUCCUAGCCGUAAACGAUGGAUACUAGGUGUUGCUCGUCAUCGACCCGAGCAGUGCCGUAGCCCACGCGUUAAGUAUCCCGCCUGGGGAGUACGCUCGCAAGAGUGAAACUCAAAGGAAUUGACGGCGGCCCGCACUAUCGUUGGAGUAUGUGGUUUAAUUCGAUCCAACGCGAAGAACCUUACCAGGGCUUGACAUGUCCGGAACCUGUCCGAGAGUUGAGGGUGCAUUCGGGAGCCGGAACACAGUUGGUGCAUGGCUGUCGUCAGCUCGUUUCGUGAGAUGUUGGGUUAAGUCCCGCAACGAGCGCAACCCACGUUCUUAGUUGCCAGCAUUGAGUUGGGCACUCUAGGGAGACUGCCGGUGACAAACCGGAGGAAGGUGUGGAUGACGUCAAGUCAGCAUGCC
rnacentral:rRNA from 1 species